CCUACGGGUGGCAGCAGUAGGGAAUAUUGCUCAAUGGGGGAAACCCUGAAGCAGCAACGCCGCGUGGAGGAUGAAGGUUUUAGGAUUGUAAACUCCUUUUGUGAGAGAAGAUAAUGACGGUAUCUCACGAAUAAGCACCGGCUAAAUCCGUGCCAGCAGCCGCGGUAAUACGGUGGGUGCAAGCGUUACUCGGGAUCACUUGGCGUAAAGAUUGCGCAGGUGGGCUUGUAAGUCCCAUGUGAAAACCUGUAGCCUAACUACAGGACUGCAUUUGAAACUAUGAGUCUAGAGUGUGGGAGAGGUAGGUGGAAUUCUAGGUGUAGGGGUGAAAUGCGUAGAUAUCAAGAAGAAUACUCAUUGCGAAGGCGACCUACUGGAACAUUACUGACGCUGAUGCACGAAAGUGUGGGUAUCAAACAGGAUUAGAUACCCUAGUAGUC
rnacentral:rRNA from 1 species